GAUGAAGAACGUAGCGAAAUGCGAUAAGUAAUGUGAAUUGCAGAAUUCAGUGAAUCAUCGAAUCUUUGAACGCACCUUGCGCCCUUUGGCUAUUCCGAAGGGCAUGCCUGUUUGAGUAUCAUGAACACCUCAACUCUCAUGGUUCGCCAUGAUGAGCUUGGACUCUGGGGGUCUUGCUGGCCUAUGGUCAGCUCCUCUCAAAUAAAUCAGCUUGCCAGUGUUUGGUGGCAUCACAGGUGUGAUAACUAUCUACGCUUGUGGUUUUCCAUCAGGUAACCUUCAGUGAUGGAGGUUCGCUGGAGCUCAUAAAUGUCCCUCCUCAGCGAGGACAGCUUUUUGAACGUUUGAUCUCAAAUCAGGUAGGACUACCCGCUGAACUUAAGCAUAUCAAUAAGCGGAGGA
rnacentral:misc_RNA from 1 species